GGGGCCGACCAGGUUUCGACGUGAAUGACGAAGUCGUGGAGUGCAUGCCGAGCACCAGUUCGCUCGUAAAUCCACUGGAAUCAAGUUAAACGCGAACGACGAUAGUUUCGCUCUC
rnacentral:tmRNA from 1 species